rnacentral:lncRNA from 1 species
AAUCAAAAUCAUACCAACCAUACCUUCAGACCACUGUACAAUAAAAUUAUAAAUCAGUACCAAGAAAAUUCCUCAAAACCACAAAAUACAUGGAAAUUAAACAACUUACUCCUGAAUGACUUUUGAGUAAACAACAAAAUUAAGCAGAAGUUUAAAAAAUUCUUUAAAAUAAAUGAAAACCAAAAUCUCUGGGAUAUAGUUAAAGCAGUGUUAAGAGGAAAGUUUAUAGCAUUAAGUGCUAAGCAGGAAGAAAUCAAAACCCUGAGCAGACCAAUAUCAGGAUCUGAAAUUGAAUCAGUAAAAAAACUACCAGCAGGAAAGAAUCCUGGAUCAGUUGUAUUCACAGCCAAAUUGCACCAAAGAAGAGCUUGUAUAAUCCUACUGAAACUAUUUUUAAAAAUAGAGAAGGGACUGUCCCUAACCUGUUCUAUGAAGCCAGCAUCACUCUGAUACCAAAAUCUGGCAAAGACUCAACAAAAAAAGAGAACUACUGGUCAAUAUCUCUGCUCAACAUAGAUGCAAAAAUCCUCAACAAAAUAUAAGCAAACCAAAUCCAGCAGUACAUCAAAAAGUUAAUUCACCAUAAUCAAUUAAGCUCCUGGGAUUCAAGGCUGGUUCAUCAUACACAAAUCAAUAAACAUGUUUCACCAAAUAAACAGAAUUAGAAGCCAAAAUCAUAUUAUCAUUUCAAUAGAUGCAGAAAAACUUUUUAUAACAUGAUAAAACAAGUCUACCAUUGAAUAGAAGUCUAUCAAGAGCAAAAAACCCCAUGAAAAU